ensembl:snRNA U6 U6 spliceosomal RNA
GUGCUUGCUUCAGGAGCCCAUAUGAUAAAAUUAAAACGAGACAGAGAUCUGCAUGGUCCCCCUGCAGGGAUGAUUCACAAAAUCAAGAAGCAUGCCACGUUUUU